rnacentral:tRNA from 1 species
GCCUCAGUGGUGAAAUGGUAGACACGCAUGCUUCAGGUGCAUGUGCCUUCAGGGUGUGCUGGUUCGAGUCCGGUCUGAGGCA